GAAGAGUCCUGAGAUGGAAGGCACUCCACUGGGCUAAGAGCAAAUUUUAGUAAUGGAUGGGAACAAAUGCUCUUCCACAUCCAGCUCAGACACUGCUUCAGGGACCUCAGUUGAAGGGGACAAGGAGGGGCUGGAGUUAGAGUGAGAGAGAAGCAUGUCAUCCUCUGUUUGUGACAAGGUAUUUCAGAGAAGUGAUUUCAGUGAAGGAGAAGCUCAAGAAAUGACUGUUCAUUUGACAACAGAAAUAAUGAAGAGUAACUCAAGCUUUUAGUCUGUAGCUCUCAUAACAUCUCACUUGACUUGCAGCAGUAGCUGCAACAGUACUCUCUUUUCAACAGCAAUGACAAAAGUGCAGGUGGUUGCCUUCUUUCCUCCCUCCUUUCUUUCUGUAUUUUUUCAUUUCUCCUUUUCCUCUUAUUUUUUUUUUCAGUUUGACUGUGCAAAAGCAGAGAAAAGGUUGAGAGAGCAAAAUAAAUAAUAUCUGUGAGAA